GGCGGACGGGUGAGUAACGCGUGGGUAACCUGCCUCACACAGGGGGAUAACAGUUGGAAACGACCGCUAAUACCGCAUAACCCGCUGGUGCCGCAUGGCACUGACGGAAAAGAUUUUAUCGGUGUGAGAUGGACCCGCGUCUGAUUAGCCAGUUGGCAGGGUAACGGCCUACCAAAGCGACGAUCAGUAGCCGGCCUGAGAGGGUGAACGGCCACAUUGGGACUGAGACACGGCCCAGACUCCUGCGGGAGGCAGCAGUGGGGAAUAUUGCACAAUGGGGGAAACCCUGAUGCACCGACGCCGCGUGAGUGAAGAAGUAUUUCGGUAUGUAAAGCUCUAUCAGCAGGGAAGAAAAUGACGGUACCUGAUUAAGAAGCCCCGGCUAACUACGUGCCAGCAGCCGCGGUAAUACGUAGGGGGCAAGCGUUAUCCGGAUUUACUGGGUGUAAAGGGAGCGUAAACGGUGAUGCAAGUCAAAAGUGAAAGCCCGGGGCUCAACUCCGGGACUGCUUUUGAAACUGUGUGACUGGAGUGCAGGAGAGGUAAGCGGAAUUCCUGGUGUAGCGGUGAAAUGCGUAAAUAUCAGGAGGAACACCAGUGGCGAAGGCGGCUUACU
rnacentral:rRNA from 1 species